rnacentral:rRNA from 1 species
GACGGAGGAUGCAAGCGUUAUCCGGAAUGAUUGGGCGUAAAGCGUCCGCAGGUGGCAGUUCAAGUCUGCUGUCAAAGACCGGGGCUUAACUUCGGAAAGGCAGUGGAAACUGAACAGCUAGAGUAUGGUAGGGGCAGAGGGAAUUCCUGGUGUAGCGGUGAAAUGCGUAGAUAUCAGGAAGAACACCUAUGGCGAAGGCAGCCCUCUGGGACGGUACUGACGCUGAGACGCGAAAGCGUGGGGAGCGAACAGG